UAGGGAAUCUUCGGCAAUGGGGGGAACCCUGACCGAGCAACGCCGCGUGAGUGAAGAAGGUUUUCGGAUCGUAAAGCUCUGUUGUAAGAGAAGAACGGGUGUGAGAGUGGAAAGUUCACACUGUGACGGUAUCUUACCAGAAAGGGACGGCUAACUACGUGCCAGCAGCCGCGGUAAUACGUAGGUCCCGAGCGUUGUCCGGAUUUAUUGGGCGUAAAGCGAGCGCAGGCGGUUAGAUAAGUCUGAAGUGAAAGGCUGUGGCUUAACCAUAGUAUGCUUUGGAAACUGUUUAACUUGAGUGCAUAAGGGGAGAGUGGAAUUCCAUGUGUAGCGGUGAAAUGCGUAGAUAUAUGGAGGAACACCGGUGGCGAAAGCGGCUCUCUGGUCUGUAACUGACGCUGAGGCUCGAAAGCGUGGGGAGCAAACA
rnacentral:rRNA from 1 species